GACGAACGCUGGCGGCGUGCUUAACACAUGCAAGUCGAACGGAAAGGCCCUGCUUUUGUGGGGUGCUCGAGUGGCGAACGGGUGAGUAACACGUGAGUAACCUGCCCUUGACUUUGGGAUAACUUCAGGAAACUGGGGCUAAUACCGGAUAGGAGCUCCUGCUUCAUGGUGGGGGUUGGAAAGUUUCGGCGGUUGGGGAUGGACUCGCGGCUGAUCAGCUUGUUGGUGGGGUAGUGGCUUACCAAGGCUUUGACGGGUAGCCGGCCUGAGAGGGUGACCGGCCACAUUGGGACUGAGAUGAGGCCCAGACUCCUACGGGAGGCAGCAGUGGGGAAUAUUGCACAAUGGGCGGAAGCAUGAUGCAGCACCGCCGCGUGCGGGAUGACGGCAUUCGGGUUGUAAACCGCUUUCGCCUGUGACGAAGCGUGAGUGACGGUAAUGGGUAAAGAAGCACCGGCUAACUACGUG
rnacentral:rRNA from 1 species